UCGCUCUCUCUUCCCUGGCUUCGCCUCUUCCUCAGUCGCUGCGCACCGGACUGCAACCCAGUGAACCUGUGAGCGACCGUCAUCUGCGCACUGGAUUAGCACCGUGAAUUCAUGAAUCUGCUCAGCCACAGCGUCUCCAGGAGUUGAACCGACCGGAAGGAGGAGAGGCAGAAAUGGCUCUGCGAUUGUUUUUUCUUCUUCUCUGGUUCCUUGGCAGAUCAUUCGCGGGCUUCCCCAACCAGAUUAAUAUCGGCGGACUCUUCAUGAGGUCCACGGUGCAGGAGCACAGCGCCUUCAGGUUCGCUGUCCAACUCUACAACACCAACCAAAACGCCACUGAAAAGCCUUUCCACCUCAACUACAACGUCGACAACCUCGAGUCGUCCAACAGCUUCUCAGUCACCCAUGCGUUCUGCUCCCAGUUUUCCCGCGGAGUUUACGCCAUCUUCGGAUUCUAUGACAAGAAGUCCAUGAACACUCUGACCUCCUUCUGCGGUGCCCUGCACACCUCCUUCGUGACUCCCAGCUACCCCACCGAUAAUGAGGUGCAGUUUGUCAUCCAGAUGCGUCCGGCCCUGAGGGGUGCCGUGCUCAGCCUGCUGUCCCAUUACAAGUGGCAAAAGUUUGUCUACCUCUACGACACGGACCGAGGGUUCUCCAUACUGCAGGCCAUCAUGGAGGCAGCGGUCGCUAACAACUGGCAGGUGACCGCUCGCUCCGUGAGCAGCACCACCGACGCAGCCGAGUUCAAGCGGAUCAUUGAAGAGAUGGACAGGAGGCAGGAGAAGCGCUACGUGAUCGACUGCGAGGUCGACAGGAUCAACACCAUACUGGAGCAGGUUGUGACCCUGGGGAAGAACAGCCGUGGUUACCACUACAUUCUGGCCAAUCUGGGAUUUACCAACGUGAGUCUGGACAAAGUCUUCGCUGGUGGAGCAAACAUCUCGGGCUUCCAGAUCGUCAACCCUGAGAACCCGAUUGUGCAGCAGUUCAUGCAGCGCUGGGAGCGGCUAGAUGAAAGAGAAUUCCCAGAAGCCCGGAAUUCUCCUCUCAAGUACACUUCGGCGCUGACCCACGAUGCCAUCCUGGUGAUCGCAGAGGCCUUCCGAUACCUGCGCCGCCAGCGUGUGGAUGUCUCUCGCCGGGGGAGCGCUGGGGACUGUCUAGCCAACCCUGCUGUACCCUGGAGCCAGGGCAUCGACAUUGAGAGGGCUCUGAAAACGGUCCAAGUGCAGGGAAUGACUGGUAACAUCCAGUUUGACAACUAUGGCCGCAGAACAAACUACACCAUAGACGUGUACGAAAUGAAAAUCGGUGGGCCGAGAAAGAUCGGGUACUGGAACGAAUACACUCGAUUUGUAAAUAUUAUGGACCCGCAGGUCACCAACGACUCCUCAGUGGAAAACCGAACGAUUGUGGUCACUACUAUUAUGGAAGCUCCUUAUGUGAUGUACAAGAAAAAUUAUAUGCAUCUGGAGGGGAAUGACAGAUAUGAAGGCUACUGCGUCGAUUUAGCAUCUGAGAUUGCCAAACAUGUUGGAAUUAAGUACAAACUGUCUAUAGUAAUGGAUGGGAAGUACGGAGCCCGAGACCCCGAGACCAAGACGUGGAACGGGAUGGUGGGUGAACUGGUCUAUGGGAGAGCAGAUAUAGCAGUUGCACCUCUCACCAUUACUCUGGUGCGAGAGGAGGUGAUAGACUUUUCCAAGCCCUUUAUGAGCUUGGGCAUCUCCAUUAUGAUAAAGAAGCCUCAAAAGUCCAAGCCCGGUGUUUUCUCCUUCCUGGACCCGCUGGCCUAUGAGAUCUGGAUGUGUAUAGUGUUUGCCUAUAUCGGGGUGAGCGUGGUUCUGUUCCUGGUCAGCCGAUUCAGUCCUUACGAGUGGAAUCUCGAGGAGCAGGACGAGACCAAAGACCCACAGACUCCACCAGACCCACCCAAUGACUUUGGCAUCUUUAACUCCCUGUGGUUCUCCCUGGGAGCCUUCAUGCAGCAGGGCUGUGACAUCUCACCCAGGUCUCUUUCGGGCCGUAUCGUCGGUGGCGUCUGGUGGUUCUUCACCCUCAUCAUCAUCUCCUCCUACACUGCCAACCUGGCUGCCUUCCUCACGGUGGAGAGGAUGGUCUCGCCUAUUGAGAGCGCCGAGGAUCUGGCCAAGCAGACGGAGAUUGCAUAUGGCACUCUGGACUCAGGUUCCACCAAGGAGUUCUUCAGGCGCUCCAAAAUAGCAGUGUAUGAGAAGAUGUGGUCGUACAUGAAAUCCGCUGAGCCCUCAGUGUUUGUUAAGACCACACCCGAUGGCGUAGCCAGGGUCCGAAAGUCGAAGGGAAAGUUCGCCUUCCUGCUCGAGUCCACCAUGAACGAGUACAUCGAGCAGCGAAAGCCGUGCGACACCAUGAAAGUCGGUGGGAACCUGGACUCCAAAGGCUACGGUGUGGCGACGCCCAAAGGCUCAGCAUUAAGAAAUGCUGUUAACCUGGCAGUUUUAAAACUGAAUGAGCAAGGCCUCUUGGACAAAUUGAAAAACAAAUGGUGGUACGACAAGGGAGAGUGCGGCAGCGGGGGAGGUGACUCCAAGGUCAGCCUCGAUGUCACCACAAUCGGGUACUAUAGUGCAGAGUAAUCGGCAACGCUGUUACAUCAAGCCAAGCUUAAACAAAGCAACUGUCCACUCCAACUGACCUGCUGCUGCCUCACGGCUUGUCACGCCAGCAGCUGAUUGGCCCGACCACAGUGUGUGACAGCUCAGCCACCGCGCAGGACCCUCGCUUGCCAACUGUGUUCCAGCUGCAGAGACGCGUCGCUCUCAGCUGAAUUUGAGACGAAAAGUGCAGCCCUGCAGUUGUUAAAGGUUGAACAAAUGCUUUCACAUCUGAAGGGCAGGUCACUUGCCUCAGAUAUUAGGACCCAGCCAGAGAUUCACCACUUUCUGAAGAUGCAGGCUUCCACUUGCCCGUGAAUAUUCCCAGUUAAAAGGCCCGAAUCUCCAGCUUCCCCUAAUAAAGCGCAAGUUUUCUAAUCCUCUAAAGGAUGGAUUUGCAUUAAUUGAUCCAGGGGCUUCUUGGCGUCGGUGUCACUGGUCCAGAACCCAAGAGCUCCUCUUAAUGGGCAAAGAUAUUUUCCUGGGCUGAGGCCAUCAAAGGAAAGCGAGGGGAACAGCGGCGUCUUGAGGGGACGAAGCAUCUGCAGGCAAACGUGAGAAUUCUAAUUAAACAAACUGUGUGUGAUUUGUUUUUAAUGGCUUCUUGGAUCAACCACCUGUGGUUUGAGUCGGUCUCCUCCCCAGCACAUUAAUAACCCAACCGUGACCCCUACGACGACCAGCUCCCCCGCUCCUCUCUCCUUCUGUGGUGAGAUGAUGAUGAAUGAUUUUGCCAUUACAGAGGCUAAUGGUGCAGAGUGGGGAACCCCCCUCCCCCACCCCCUUAACCAUGAUAACUUUGGAUAACUCUACUCUGAUGCGGUGAAUGAAGAAGGCACAUGGCAGCAGCGCUAUGUUCUUCUACAGGUCCUCGUGAAGACAAACGGUGCUGUCAUCUCCCAUGUGAAGAUAUAGGUCAGGUAACUGGCCAGAGAACAGGCACCCUGCUGUGAGCUCCUGUGGACCGACCCCGGCCGCAGUAAAGAGUAGCGCGGCAGCAAAUCAGUUUGGAGGCUGCAGAUAUUUAUGUCUGUUUUAAAAGCCAUCCUUUCUCACUGAGAGACACUGUGUGGCAGAGGAGGGGACCAUUAACUGGGAUAGCUGAUGGACUGAAGACAGCAUAAUGGCAAUGAUAUUGUCUAGUAUUUGUUGGAUACGAUUCAAUAACAGAUGAAAAAUAAACGUAUAAUAACAAUAAUGACAAUAAUUAUAACGUCUGUCUGGAACUGGGCCUGACUUGAUACCACAGAUGUGCAUCCUUAAGGUUCAGUCCAUAUCUGGCACCCUCCUUUUGUCACUCACCAAGGUGUUACUGGGGUUUAUGGAUGUGCAGCGCCUCACACCUUAAAAGAACACACUACUCAAGGGAUGCCCAUGUGCUCGGGCUGAAAGGGCAAAUAUUAGGGCAGAUAUUAAAGUUAUAAAAUGACCAAAAAGUCUACUAACCUGAAAUCCAAAAGGCAUGUCACGCAAAGUGAACUUGGGGCUCGGCCUGGAUCGGACCCGAUGGUGAUCCAAAGUAUAUCCGGAGCUUAAAUAUGAUAGUGACAGUCAUGUUUUAGCCUUCGCCAUGUCAUUGGGGGUUUGCGUUAAACAGGACGGUCGACCUCCACCAAGCCAUUCCUAAACAGCCGUAUGUGUUGGUUUGGUUUUCAGUCAUCUUGAGCCUCUUGUUGCCCUAUAUUCAUUCAAACUAUAUAAUUCAAAAGCAAUUUUAGUCUUUCAAACAAGCUCCUUGCUACAGUUAAUGAUCUCAAAUAAAAACACCAACUGAAUUGCCAGUGCGAAACAGAUAAAUAAAAGAAUGGUGCCGCAAUAUCACAGAAGUAAAUGAUGCUCGGUUAGUUUAGAAUUGCACAGCAUAAAAUCCCCACGAUGCAUGAACUGCACACUAAGACUUGCCGAAUAGAGGCAGACGCUGUCGACCAAUGACGCAGUUCGACUUCAGUCCGGACCUUCCUGUUGGUGGUCCUCAUUCAGGUGCCGUGUGUGUGGCUCCUUCAGAGAGUCAACACACUUAAUAGCAAAAUCUGAUUUGUGUCUGGCCUGAAAGCACAGCGUCAUGCAGAAUAGCAGCCUGGAGCCAUGUUUUCAUCCCGGCUUCCUGUUACAUGGCCACCACAGGCACACGCUCUCGCACACACUUGACAGCACUUGCUCGCCCUCCGGCGAAACACACUGGAGCCCAGAUUGAGUUUCACACACAGAGCAUGUUACCGGGUAAUUGAAUUGUUAAUCAAUGUCUCCGUGAGCCAAGACAAUCGUCAAGUCCCGACAAUUUGUUUCUCCAGAUUGGCUGUGAGGGAUAUACAGUGUGGUAAUCUUCUCUGUGUCCAUUAUGCAUGGGCGAGGUCCCCGGGGGCAUGGUUCCCAGGGAGGAGUCAAGUCACUCAUUCAUCCGGCCGCGCGCUCGGCUCAUGAGCACUAAGCUCAGAAAUGGACGCAGGUCACUCCUGCCCUGGUGUCAGCAAGCCUCCGCUUGCAUCAUGCCUUUUUGACCUGCUGGAUCUUCACAAGUCACUCAAACAAAGCAAAAAACACAUGAUGGUCCAGACAGAUCCACCUCAAAAAUAACAACGUUGUAAGGCUCAAAACAACAUGGAGGAAGAUAGACAGCCCACUUUUGAGUGGACUAUUAAUGAAGAUGUUUGGGAAAAUAUUGCAAUGUUGAAAUUUGAAAUCUGAUUUGUACAUCCAACAUGAGUUUCUGUAUUGGUGACCUGCUGUAUUGACUCAGUCAGUAACGGUGAGGGCUGCUCCAGAACAGCCACCAUUCAUAGUCAUCACUAGAUGAAUUUUCAGGGACCGUAGGACCCAGUUCUCGACCUCCAGCCCCGGUAUUUGCCUGCAAAUGUCUCACCCGAUCAAGAGCCCUGUCAAUGCUUCGCUUUAAGAUUUGGAAUUCCCGAGUGGGACUGAGACCCAGCUUUAUUUUCAGACUCUUACUGAGGUCAAUAGUAGCUUCAGGUUAGUGAAACAUUGAUUUCCAGCAGCUGCACUGUAGAAACUCGGAGGUCCUGCCGUCCAAGGCUGCCCCCUGAAAGUCCCGCCUGAGCGUUCCUCACGCGGGCGUGCGCAUGGCACUCUGCUCGGUGUCUUGCUAACAGCGUCUGCCGAUUACUCAAAGUGAUACGGGUAGGUCCUGGCGUAGACUAGGGUUUACCAAGGCUGUAGGUAGAAUGCCUGCUCUCUGUGAUGUUGACUCGGCCAGGAGCCCUGCUUUAUCGCUUUGUCAAGAAUGUAGUGGUUUAAAAGUUGAAUAACAUAAAAUAACAUAUUAUAAUGUUAUUUAUGUUAUUUCCCACGUGAAGAACUCCUGUAAACCUUGCAGUAUUGAAACUCAGUGAACAAGGCAUCUUAGACAAGCUGAAAAACAAAUGGUGGUACGAUAAGGGUGAAUGUGGAACCAAGGACUCUGGAAGUAAGGACAAGACAAGUGCUCUCAGUCUGAGCAAUGUGGCUGGUGUCU